rnacentral:lncRNA from 1 species
CUGAUCCAUAUGAAUUCCUCUUAUUAAGAAAAAUAAAGCAUCCAGGAUUCAAUGAAGAACUGACUAUCACCUUGUUAAUCAUUCAGAAACAUGUUGCAGGCUUAAGCCAUUUUUGAUAUAGAUACUGAAACAAUUACUUGCUAAGAGCAAACUUGAAGUAACAAUUUGGACAAGACAGCAAAUGCUAUUGUCCAAGUUUUCUAAAGAAGAAUCUGAAGUGAAAUGACAUCAAGAGACCUAUCAAGACCUGUAUCCAGGAAAAGACCAAACCAAUGCAGACCAAACCAAUGCAGAACUCCUAUGUGCUGAUGGUGGUCUUACAUUUCCCUAAGUUUCUGCCGACUAAACUGUGCACACGUUCUCAGGACCUCCUGAAGCUGCGUCACAGGCACUAAUCAAAGAACACAACCAAGAGUUUGGCCUUUUCUUCAGCACUGGGAAUUGUGAUCCAAAGCUUUUCCUGAUGAAGCACAAAGUUGGAGAAAAAAAACGCAAACUAAACAACAACAAUGAAACAGAACAGAGUGAAUCUGCUGUAGCUCAAGAGAGGACGUAGCUGCCCCCACUCCGCAUCCCCGGGCUCGGGUUUGCCUUGCUGACCUCUGCUGCCACCUGGUGCCGCACAGAGAAACUGAGGAGAAACCACAUCAGUCUCCUUCAGCCUCAGCUUCACAUCUGUGGGUCAAGUAACCCUUUCAGAAGCUGAAUAAUGUGGGAAAGCUUUCCUCUCAGGAAAAUGCACACAUCCAACUUUGAGAAGAUGCCCUUGGGGGCGCUUCAAGGAUUCUAGAUAAUAACCCCCUUUCCCGAACAUCCAAGAACCUAAGAUUUUUUUUUUUUUUUUGAGAAAGUCUCGCUCUCUCUCCCAGUCUGGAGUGCAGUGGCGUGAUCUUGGCUCACUGCCAGCUCCACCUCCCAGGUUCACGCCAUUCUCCUGCUUCAGCCUCCCUAGUAGCUGGGGCUACAGGCACCUGCCACCAAACCCGGCUAAUUUUUUUGUAUUUUUAGUAGAGACGGGGUUUCACCGUGUUAGCCAGGAUCGUCUUGAUCUCCUGACCUUGUGAUCCACCCGCCUCGGCCUCCCAAAUUGCUGGGAUUACAGAUGUGAGCCACCGCACCUGGUCCAAGAGCCCAAGUUUUAGAUCUAGAGUGAUGUCAGCAUGACAUUGAUUUCCUGAGGCCCAGGGGCGAAGGAGCUGAGGACAGCAGAGGGGUGAAGGAACUCAGCUACAGACAGCAGCAGCUGAUGCACAGGCCUCCCAGCGCCUGAAGUCACCCGGAAUUGGGAAGUGCUCAGAAGCUUACAAAGCUGCCUCGAGGGUCGGGAGGCCAUGCCAAGCAUUGUGAUUUGCAGAGUCCAUGAGACAGGAACACUCCCACCACAGUGACCUGCCUCUGCACACAGCCAGAAUGUAGCUGACUCCUUUCUUCUCCCACUUGCAUGCUUCCAAGCCUUCAAAACAUACUCAUCUCCAUGUUCUGUGAAUUAGCAAUUUUUAAAAAAAUAAAAAAAUAAACAAACUCA